UGUGGGAGCGAGCUUGCUCGCGAUAGCAGUAUGUCAUUCCAUGACGGUGUUGACUGGAUUGACGCCAUCGCGAGCAAGCUCGCUCCCACA
rnacentral:misc_RNA from 1 species